GUGCUCUUCCGAUCUCGCCCGCCGCGCGCGGCGGGCGGGGCGGGGGCACGGGGGGAGGAAUUGGCGGGGGAGCACCACAACGGGUGGAGCUUGCGGUUUAAUUGGAUUCAACGCCGGAAAUCUUACCGGGACCGACAGCAAUAUGAAGGCCAGGCUGAAGACUUUGCCGGAUUAGCUGAGAGGUGGUGCAUGGCCGUCGUCAGUUCGUACUGUGAAGCAUCCUGUUAAGUCAGGCAACGAGCGAGACCCACGCCCACAGUUGCCAGCGUACUCUCUGGAGUGACGGGUACACUGUGGGGACCGCCGCUGCUAAAGCGGAGGAAGGAAUGGGCAACGGUAGGUCAGUAUGCCCCGAAUAUCCCGGGCUACACGCGAGCUACAAUGGUUGGUACAAUGGGUAUCUACCCCGAAAGGGGACGGGAAUCUCCUAAAACCAAUCUUAGUUCGGAUUGAGGGCUGCAACUCGCCCUCAUGAAGCUGGAAUCCGUAGUAAUCGCGUUUCAACAGAACGCGGUGAAUACGUCCCUGCUCCUUGCACACACCGCCCGUA
rnacentral:rRNA from 1 species